GGAGCUUGCUCCUCUGACGUUAGCGGCGGACGGGUGAGUAACACGUGGGUAACCUACCUAUAAGACUGGGAUAACUUCGGGAAACCGGAGCUAAUACCGGAUAAUAUUUCGAACCGCAUGGUUCGAUAGUGAAAGAUGGCUUUGCUACCACUUAUAGAUGGACCUGCGCCGUAUUAGCUAGUUGGUAAGGUAACGGCUUACCAAGGCAACGAUACGUAGCCGACCUGAGAGGGUGAUCGGCCACACUGGAACUGAGACACGGUCCAGACUCCUACGGGAGGCAGCAGUAGGGAAUCUUCCGCAAUGGGCGAAAGCCUGACGGAGCAACGCCGCGUGAGUGAUGAAGGUCUUCGGAUCGUAAAACUCUGUUAUAGGGAAGAACAUACGUGUAAGUAACUGUGCACGUCUUGACGGUACCUAAUCAGAAAGCCACGGCUAACUACGUGCCAGCAGCCGCGGUAAUACGUAGGU
rnacentral:rRNA from 1 species